rnacentral:lncRNA from 1 species
AGGAAGGGCCUGCAAGGUGCUUUCAUUCAGCCCUGCGUGUUUUCUCACUCAGCAAACACUGUGUUUGGGCUCUGGGGGCAGGACAGAGAGCCAGUAGGUCAUGGGUUCUGCCUUCUCCUGUCCAGCCCUGAUGCCUGCCAGCUGUGGGGUUCAGGCAGCCACUCUACGGCACUGUGAUGGGAAAAAGGAGGUACAAGCUGCUCAUGUAUUAGCAGAAGCUACCAAGCCCCCCCAACACACCAGAGACACGGGAGAUGCGACCACUCCCUGGGCCCGCCAGUCAGCAGUGCGCAAGACGCAUCCGCCAGAUGGCACCGCGUCAGAAAAGAGCAGAUGUAAUGCGGGCUUCUGAGAGGGGAAGCAGUUUCUCUUGGGAGGAAAAGAAGGUGCUGGGCACAGGUACAGAAGGACAAGAUCAGAAGUCACCUCUCCACCUGUCCCGAGCCGGAUGCACAGCUGUCCCCUCUCCCCCUUCCCUUCACUUGUUCACCUUAUCUUACAUAAAAUGUACAUUUACUCAAAGUCUCACAAGAAUGUCAGCAUCUGCCUCACUGCCUACCCCUCCCGCCUUCCCUCUCCUUAAGUACUCCCUUCCCCUUAAAUACUGAGUUCCCAAAACCUUCUUUGGAACGCGCAGGUCACAGAUGCUCCUGGGACGUGUGUUUUCCUUAGGCGUGUCCUCACACUUUGGCUUGUGAGCCUCUACUGAUUGAGACCCCUGCCCCCAUCACUUUUUGGCUAAACGAGGACUCAGCUUCAGCACACGGAGGUGGGAGGAGUCCACACAGGUGUGUUAUCCCAUUAGCCGCAGAGUCCUGCUCUUACCCCACCCCUGGAAGGGAAGAUUAGGCUGGA